AGCGCCCGGGAGUGCAGACUCGCGGCCAACCUUCGGUGAGGUGUUCCUAUUGCAGCUACCCUGGUCAUACUCUGCAGGAUUGCCCCAGGCGUCUUCACCUAUGCUUUAGCUGUGGGUCCCCCGAUCAUAUCAGUCGAGACUGUCCUCAGAAACAGCAGGCCCGGUUGCCCACACCUCCAGUUCGAACAACUCUUCCAGCUCCGCCUCGACCAGCCCCGGCAGCACAGCCUCAGCACAGAUCCUAUCCUCGAGCAGGGCCUCUUCCUCCACAGCAGCAGCGUUAUCAGGAAGCGCACCGGCAGCAACCUCAGCGACAGACGUUCAUGAUGUCAGCCAUAGAAGCUGAGGCGAACGAUCGAGUUAUCACUGACUUAGGAGACGAACAGGUUCAGUUCGAUGAUGCCGCCGAACCAGUGUAUGCUCAGCCGGAAUGUCCUUCUGAUGGAGUGGAAGAACAAACUGAAGCCUAGACGCAUUUUCUUUUCUGUAGUAGCUAAUAGAGCACUCUUGCAGUAUUUUCUUUAGUUUGGUGACAGAUUUGGUUAUUUUGUUAGUAUUUCCUUUUAUGGACUAUGUAUUUCUUAUUUCCUAGUUGAACUGUUGUUGUAGUAA